rnacentral:rRNA from 1 species
UGCCAGCCGCCGCGGUAAUACAGAGGGUGCAAACGUUGUUCGGAAUUAUUGGGCGUAAAGCGCGUGUAGGCGGUUCGUUAAGUCUGAUGUGAAAGCCCGGGGCUCAACCUGGGAACUGCAUUCGAUACUGCAUAAUUAGAGUAUGGUAGAGGGAAGUGGAAUUUCCGGUGUCGCGGUGAAAUUCGUAGAUAUUAGGAGGAACACCAGUGGCGAAGGCGACUUGCCGGACUGUAACUGACGCUGAGGCGCGAAGGCGUGGGUAGCGAACGGGAUUAGAUA